CAGCUUUCCGGUGUAGAGGGUGACGCUGCUAAAACGAGAGGGAAACCAAAGGGCACGGGGCACCUUUACUGCGAGACAAAAAUCAGGGCCAAUUAUACAGAAGAGGGAUGGCAGACUUGAAGACCUGCAUUCCACCUUCAGAUCCCACAAGGUGGCAGAAGAGAACCAACUCCAGACAGACCUCCAUCUACGCACCAGCAUGUGUGUGCACUUAUACAUGUACAAACACAAUAAAUAAAAAUUCAAAACCUUUA